GAAAUUUAAAAGAGGCAUCAAUCUUUUCUGUUAGGUGGAAAAAUUAGAUAAGGGUUGGUUUAUAGGCCUCUUUUUCUUUGAUGCCAUGAAAACUAAGGGAUAGACCGGGAUUAGAUACCCCGUUAUUCUUUUUUUUAAACUUUAAUUGUAUGAUUUAUCUGAGUAUUACGAGUUGUUUAGGUAAAUAAACUAUACUUAAAACUUAAAAAACUUGGCGGUGCUUCAUUUCUUUCCAGGGGAACCUGUUCUAUAAACGAUGAUCCACGAUUGAGCUUACUUUUUUUCGUACAAAUAUAUUAGUAUUGUCAGUUUGUAUACCGUCGUCGUCAGACUACCUUUAAGAGAAAAAAAAGUUGUCUAGCUAAAUAAGGUCAGAGAGGUCUGAGGUAGUGGCCUCUUUGAUUAAGUUUUUGAUGUCAGAUCAAGGUGCAGCUAAUAAAAAAGUAGAAAUGGGUUACAAUAAUAAUUUUUUCUGGAGCUUAUACUGUAAUGUGUAAAGGAAAUUGGACUUGGGAGUAAUAAAUUAACAGUGAACUGUUGGCUGGAUAUGUGUGUAGAAUCCGAAUCCUGAGAUUUACGUUAAGAGGCGUAU
rnacentral:rRNA from 1 species